UACAGAGGGGGCAAGCGUUAUUCGGAAUUAUUGGGCGUAAAGGGCGCGUAGGCGGCCUGGCAAGUGGAUGGUGAAAUCCCUCGGCUUAACCGAGGAACUGCCGUCCAAACUGCUUCGCUUGAGACCGGGAGAGGUGAGUGGAAUUCCCAGUGUAGCGGUGAAAUGCGCAGAUAUCAGGAAGAACACCCGUGGCGAAGGCGGCUCUCUGGGACGGUACUGACGCUGAGACGCGAAAGCGUGGGGAGCGAACAGG
rnacentral:rRNA from 1 species